rnacentral:tRNA from 1 species
GCGGGAAUAGCUCAGUUGGUAGAGCAUCGGCUUCCCAAGCCGAGGGUCGCGGGUUCGAGUCCCGUUUCCCGCUC